rnacentral:rRNA from 1 species
GAUGAACGCUGGCGGCGUGCCUAAUACAUGCAAGUCGAGCGAACAGAUGAGGAGCUUGCUCCUCUGACGUUAGCGGCGGACGGGUGAGUAACACGUGGAUAACCUACCUAUAAGACUGGGAUAACUUCGGGAAACCGGAGCUAAUACCGGAUAAUAUAUUGAACCGCAUGGUUCAAUAGUGAAAGACGGUUUUGCUGUCACUUAUAGAUGGAUCCGCGCCGCAUUAGCUAGUUGGUAAGGUAACGGCUUACCAAGGCAACGAUGCGUAGCCGACCUGAGAGGGUGAUCGGCCACACUGGAACUGAGACACGGUCCAGACUCCUACGGGAGGCAGCAGUAGGGAAUCUUCCGCAAUGGGCGAAAGCCUGACGGAGCAACGCCGCGUGAGUGAUGAAGGUCUUCGGAUCGUAAAACUCUGUUAUUAGGGAAGAACAAAUGUGUAAGUAACUAUGCGCGUCUUGACGGUACCUAAUCAGAAAGCCACGGCUAACUACGUG